CGAUCUCUGCCUUGUUCGUGAUUCGUCAGCUAAAUUGAGCCAACAGUGUCACCUUGGGAGCCUAGCUCGAAACGUGGAGCGAAUGCCCGAGUCGGGACUCGUGAAGCGCCAGGAGGGCACCCACCUGCGAGAGCGGGUUCAAUAUAGAAGGCGAACACGGCAAGGCGGAAUCUU
rnacentral:other from 1 species